rnacentral:lncRNA from 1 species
UUUGAAUUUAUGAACAAAUCAAUCUUAUUGCUUAUUAAUUAUAUCUACCAAAGUCUAGGAAGAUCCAUUCUAUAUUCCAUAUAUCUCUUUUGAGUCAUAUAAGAUAGCAAAUAUCUUUAAAAGAAGAAAAAUCCCACCUCCUCCUAUAGAAGUGAAUAAUAAUAAUAAUUUUGAAGUAGAAAAAGUCUUAGAUUCAAGACUAUGCCAAAAUAGAUUUGAAUAUCUUAUU